CUUUUGACAGGACUAAACAGAAAAAAAGAAGCACAAAAAGAAGUAGUUCACAUAUGUAUGAGCCGAGAGCAGAGGCCAAACAGGCAAACAAACGAUGCCGCCACAACAACAGAAAUAACAACAACAAUGGGAGCAACAAAAACGAAAGCAACAGAAGCCACAAUUUUCAACAGGAAGAGCAACAAAAUAUUGUGUGUGCAAAGCCCGAAAACCACUUUGGGCCCAACUUAUUUGUGGCUAACAAAUUUGCAUGCAUUGACGCAUCAUCAUCGCAGUUGCCAAUUCAUCUGGAUAUACGUCUAUAUAAGGACAACACUGGAGACUUUGACUGCGAUUGCAAAUCUUGGGCAAAUCAAUAGAAGUUGUAAAGAGCUGGGAAAAGCGUCCUCAAUGUGUCAGCACAAAUGUCAAUUUGUUGGCCAGGAUUUCCAGGAUAUCGAUGGUACAAGUGACAAAACACAAAACACAAAACGUGCAUAGUUUUUGAGACUGAUUGAGGGCGGGAUUGUAUGAGUCAAAAAGGACAUUUGAAAAAAGUGCGAUAAAAGUGCGUUUUUGUGUUAGUGAACUAGACUAUCAGCUAGUGGAACUGUUACUCAUUGGGACAGAGAUAAUAUUCAAGAAUAUAUAUUCUUUAUAGAGUCAGAAACUUCUAUGUUUAAUAUGUUUUAUAGUCAGAAUUAUCUUGCCUUUAAAAAUAAAUGUAGCUCUAUGUAAAUAUGCCAGUUAAGGGAUACAAGUUAAAUCCAAUAUAUAUAAAGUGCCCCU